GCCCCGAUAGCUCAGGUGGUAGAGCGCAUCCUUGGUAAGGAUGAGGUCCGCAGUUCAACUCUGCGUCGGGGCU
rnacentral:tRNA from 1 species